rnacentral:rRNA from 1 species
UGGUGGAAUGAUGUGUCUGGUUAAUCCCGUUAACGAACGAGACCUCGACCUGCUAAAUAGUUUGGCGAAUUUCCUGUGGAUUCGCACAUAACUUCUUAGCGGGACUAUCGGUUCGCAGCCGGUGGAAGUUCGAGGCAAUACCA